CGGUGGUGUAGAGGUAUCAUGCAUCCCUGCCACGGAUGCGACCCGGGUUCGAUUCCCGGA
rnacentral:tRNA from 1 species